rnacentral:lncRNA from 1 species
GAAGGGGCAUGAUUUUUUAAUUAUAUUAGUAGAGAAGUGAAGCUAUGAGAAAAAGUUUAACAUAUUUCUUUAUUACCCCUGGUUCUAUUGUGCUGUUGUUAGUGGUUUUUAAAACAAAUUCUAUUUUUAUUUCCCCGACCCUGUACAUGAAAUAUACAAAUUGACCAGGACAAGAAAUAAACAUAGACUUGUGAUUGUUUAAACUUUAUGAAACAAUUUGCCUUAAUUAAAAAUUAUCCUUUUCUGGCUAUUUAUGGCUGCACAGCCUAUUUUACAGGAAUCAGUAGCUUCGGCCCUUAAAAGCUCUCCUGCAAGACAUUUGCUAUGUGAGAGAGAAUUUAUGUGCUGAGAAUAGUUUCAUUCUUCAGUUAGGCCUUAGGUUUGACCCUAUAAAAUUUUUUACUCAGGAAGGUACAAAAAUUUCUUCUCUUUAAAUACUUCAGGAAAAACAUAACCAUUUUACUAAAUAAACUUGGCCAUUUGAUAGCAUAAAUUAGGGCAGUGAUAAAAUGUGGAAAUUGUUCAAAGGCAUCUUGUAUAAAUUAUCGCCUUGGCUGCACUCCUGCAGGAGGUGCCUUUUAUCUUUUCUUUAACUAGCCAGGAAAGGUCUCCAUUACUGGAGAAAAUGAAGGCUUUUUAAAAAAUGUCCAGAUUCAGCUAAUAAACAUUUUAUAACUGUUUCCUGCAAAAUAUCUAAAAUCCUUUCUGGAACUUGUAGUGUGAAACAGCAGCCUCA